GGGGAAAAGUCCCUCCUGUAAGCCGUGUAUCUUCUGAAUCACUGGUUCCUGUCACUGCCUAACAAGGAACCCCUGCUAAGCAGGAGGGGAAUUCUGUGAUAACCGAUUAAUCUUGAUAAUUGCCUGGGGGAUUUUACUGUGCUCUAAUUUCAACUUCCAUGCAAAUUACUUUCCUGAUCUAUUACGAGGUGGCACCACGUUGAAACUGUGACUUGCUGUGUAAAGGCAGAGAACAGGACACGGAAAGUCCCUCCGAAUUUGAACUUUCCAGAAUGAAUCAGCUGUGACGUUCCUUUUGCUUUCGUAUUGAUCUGCUAUUGGCUAUUUAAAGUAGGAGGGACGCGCGUCUUGGUCAGUCCAGUGGGAAAGCACACCACACCAGGGCCGAAGAGUGGUCUGUGUCCAAGGCCCCUGAGAAGCCCACACGAAAACAUGAGCCUAAUAGUGAGUAAUAGAUUAUCAUUUUUGUACUUUUUCUUUUUACGGGUCAGGAGAUAUCCUUAAGGCCCUGAUGGCCUACCAUGGCUUUUGGGUUCCUAGUUCUAUAUGGCACUAUGAAAUGUGUUAAUAUAACCAAAUAAAUUGUCUAAGGACACAGGCCACUGUG